rnacentral:rRNA from 1 species
CAGUCUUAACGAUGGAUGUCUUGGUUCCUACAGCGAUGAAGGCCGCAGCAAAAUGCGAUACACAAUGAAAAUUGCAGUGACUGUGAAUCAUCUGAACGCUGAAUGUAAAUUAUACUCAAAAGAGGUCUGUUUACCCAAAUGGGG